ensembl:lincRNA linc-72 ncRNA
AGACAUUUAUUCUAUGAAUUUAUGUUCUAGAUACUCUGAAAUUAUUAUUCUAUUGAAUCUCAUUAUCAUUGAACACUUUUUGUUUUAACUUUAAAGGUUACAUUAUUUUUAUAUGUCAUUUAUCAAAAUUCCACAAACUUCCUUAUCUCCUUUUGUUCUAUUUUAAACGGUGUUCUUUAAAAAUCACGAGGCAUGAUUGAUGACUUCUAAAAAUCAUUUUUCAUUUUAUUUCAAUGGAUUUUUUUAUAAAUAGAACUUGGGUAUAUUUCGGCAAACUAAUGAAGACUUUCAAAGAAGAUAUACGAUUCUUUUGUUACAGUCGGAGAAAUUGAUCACACAAAGUUCAGUGACAUCAUUGAAGGGACCUUAGGUUUUCCUGAUUCCACAACUUAAGAAAGAUUUUAUCUUCUUUUAUAGGGUCUAGGGAUGUAGACUAUCACAUGAGCUUUGUUUGAAAGCAUUUGUUCAGAAUGUAGAACUAGAAUUUUUUAAAAAGCAUUCGUUUUGAUAUUUUGUUAAAAGAGUUUCAGAAUUUAUAGGUAGUUUUCAUGAUAAAAUUCAAAGAAAAUUGAGCUCGUGGUUGCUUUGCUCUUGAAUAAACUAAUUUUGGAUUUAAUUUACC